GGGGCCGACCUGGUUUCGACGUGGGUGCGGAGUCGGGAUAGGGCAUGCCGAGCACCAGUUCGCUCGUAAAACCACUGGAAACAAGUAACUGCGAACGACGAACGUUUCGCCCUCGCCGCUUAACACCGGUGAGCCUCUCAGCAGUUGGCCGAUGGGCUGCGUCUGAGGUCGCAAGGCCGAAGACAGAGAGGUCAUUCACAUUGGCUGGUCGACCGGUGGGCCACUCACCAGGCGACGAGACUCAGUGGCUGGCAUCCCGGGCAGCGUGCUGCUGCGCGGCACGGGGUGUGAGAUCCAAAUCAGUCAGCUAAGCAUGUAGAUCUACCUGGCGAUGGCUUGCGGACGGGGGUUCAAUUCCCCCCGGCUCCACCA
rnacentral:tmRNA from 1 species